rnacentral:rRNA from 1 species
UACGUAUGGGGCAAGCGUUAUCCGGAUUUACUGGGUGUAAAGGGAGCGUAGGCGGCAAGGCAAGUCUGGUGUGAAAUACCGGGGCCCAACCCCGGGGCUGCACUGGAAACUGUCUUGCUGGAGUGCCGGAGGGGUAAGCGGAAUUCCUAGUGUAGCGGUGAAAUGCGUAGAUAUUAGGAGGAACACCAGUGGCGAAGGCGGCUUGCUGGACGACAACUGACGCUGAGGCGCGAAAGCGUGGGGAGCAA